UCGUGUCUCUUCUUUGGCCUCUCUUUUCUUCUCCGCCGCUCUGGUCAUCAAGGCUCUCAAAGAGCCUGAUCACGACAUCAAGAAGCAAGAACAUGAAGACCAGAUCGAUGACCAAGACCUGAGUGGGACUGCGAAGGAGAAUCUCUCGUUGGGUGCACAGUCGAUGGCAAGGACCCUAAGGAUUUGUAGGAAGAGAUUACCAACAGCGAUGGAAAUGGAUGAGCUUGUUCAUGAUCUGGUAGAGAAGAAUUAGCAAGGACACAUUUCAUAUUGGAGAAGGUGGUGAACGCACUAUUUGAGAAGUGUUCAAAGCAGUUCAGGAUUGUAUUGACUCCGAAGAGAGAUCCGUCCCGAUUUGUCAAGUGGCUCAAGGCUAUUCAGAUAUGACUGGUUUCCUUGGAAAUUUGUCUGUUAAAUGGCUUGCUCAAUGUUUUGGUUUGUUCUCAUCAAUUAUGACACCUUUUGGAGGCUUCUUGGCAAGUGGUUUUAAAGGAGCUUUCAAAGUCAAGGAUUUUGGUGACAGCAUCCCUGGGCAUGAUAGAUUGUCAGGUAUAGUUAUCUUUUUUUAAAAUGGCACUUUUGUCUACUCUACUUUCUGUUUCUUAUGCCUAUAAUGUCAUUAUCAAUUUUUUUUUUUUGUCUAAUGUAUUUGGGUUGAAGCAUUUUUGUCUCACUUUGCAAGCAACAAGAACUAAUUAUCAAAA